rnacentral:rRNA from 1 species
GGAAACAGAUGCUAAUAGCCGGAUAACAACACUAGACGCAUGUCUAGAGUUUAAAAGAUGGUUCUGCUAUCACUCUUGGAUGGACCUGCGGUGCAUUAGCUAGUUGGUAAGGUAACGGCUUACCAAGGCAAUGAUGCAUAGCCGAGUUGAGAGACUGAUCGGCCACAUUGGGACUGAGACACGGCCCAAACUCCUACGGGAGGCAGCAGUAGGGAAUCUUCCACAAUGGACGCAAGUCUGAUGGAGCAACGCCGCGUGAGUGAAGAAGGGUUUCGGCUCGUAAAGCUCUGUUGGUAGUGAAGAAAGAUAGAGGUAGUAAUCUCUCCUUUAUUAGACGGUAAUACUUAG